CUCCCUGCUCUCACACCCUGGCUCUGCUGAGGAUUGAUAUCUCCCCUCGUCCUGCUGUUCCCUCCCCCCUCUUCUUAAAAAAAAAAAAAAAUUAUUUAAUCCUUCCAACACCUGUCCCAGCUUUUGGGAACUUGUGAUAAAGGGAAAUGAAAAGACCCCUUUCCAAUUGUAUCAAAACCCAGUGAACAACACAACAGGCUGUGGGUAAUUAAACAAGAAAUGUUGCAUGAGCACUGGGCAGGUGUUGGAGAAGACUGUAUGUAUGGACACACCAUGUCCCUUGAGAACUGUGUGGAAAAUGCAAGGCUGUGUCUUUGCAAUGAUAAAAUGAUCUGUUUGCGAGUCCUCGGCCAGAUCGUGAGCUUCUUGGACAUUUAGAUUGAUUUCUGCCAACAUAAUUCAUAUUUGAUCUCACUUCCUCAGACCUUAUCCUUUUUUACCUGUGUGUUUCUUUUUUCUGCCUGCCUAGCAUGAUGCCCAUCUCCCCAGUAACCGACUCUCUCCUACGCUCUUUCAGAUGAAUUCAGGGCUGCUGCGUUGCUGAACAAUACUUCCACUGCCUUAAUGUGUGGGAAACACAUUAGGUCAGCCGCUUCACCAGCUGCACAAAGUCACAGAGAGGCUCUGGGCAGAGCCCAAGGCUAGCACCCAGCUUGUCACUAACCACAUUCCUCUUUCCCCGUUCCCGUUUGUGUUGUACAGCGCAGCGGAGGGCCUGCCGAUUUGGGGCUUCUUGGGUAAUGCCUAUUCCAGUGCAGCAGCGUUCCUCGGCUGUAAUGAAGCACCUUGUAAAUUAUGUAUAACGGCGCAACAUUAUUCCUGGCAAAAUAUUCCUGUCAGGACAUUCGUCCUUGUAAAUCAUCGCAGAAGUUCUUCAUUUGACUGCUUGGCCUAGGUGAGAUGUAACACUCCUACUAACUGAUUAGGAGAAAUAGAAGGGAAAGGAAGUGGUUGCCUCCAGGUUUCUACUCUGUGGUGUACGUUUGGUUUCUGGCUGAACCAUUUAGAACUGCUCAAAUGGCAGAAGACGACUAGUCAUGCGAUGUAGCACUGGUAGGUGUUUUUCCCCCCUUGCCUUCCUUGUUUACUUUGCUAGUCUUAGCUAUUGCCUA
ensembl:lncRNA